ensembl:snRNA U4 U4 spliceosomal RNA
GGCUUUGUGCAGUGGCAGCAUUGUAGCCAAUGAGGUUUAUCUGAGGCACAGUUAUUGCUAAUUGAAAACACCUACAUGCCAAACACUGUGCUAAAUCCUAGGGACAGAAUAGUGUGUGAUUUAGAUACAAUUCAGUCUCUUUUGGAG